CCCUGGAUGGCUCAGUCGGUUAAGCAUCCGACUUCAGCUCAGGUCAUGCUCUCACAGUUUGUGGGUUCGAGCCCCACUUCAGGGU
rnacentral:tRNA from 1 species